rnacentral:rRNA from 1 species
ACGAACGCUGGCGGCGUGCUUAACACAUGCAAGUCGAACGGUCGGAUCAGCAAAAGCUGAGAAGAUAGUGGCGGACGGGUGAGUAACGCGUGGGUAAUCUAGCUCUUAGACGGGGAUAACACUGGGAAACGGGUGCUAAUACCGGAUGAGUUCUUUUUUUCAGAAGAAGAAGAGAAGAAAGGCGGCAAUGGCUGUCGUUAAGAGAUGAGCCCGCGUCCAAUUAGCUAGUUGGUAAGGUAAAAGCUUACCAAGGCAAUGAUGGGUAGCCGGCCUGAGAGGGUGAACGGCCACACUGGGACUGAGACACGGCCCAGACUUCUACGGGAGGCAGCAGUGGGGAAUAUUCGGCAAUGGGGGGAACCCUGACCGAGCAACGCCGCGUGAGUGAAGAAGUUUUUCGGAAUGUAAAGCUCUGUCAUGAGGGAAGAAAGCUAUGUUAUUGAAGAGAUGAGAUAGUUGACGGUACCUGAUAAGCAAGCUCCGGCUAACUACGUGCCAGCAGCCGCGGUAAUACGUAGGGAGCGAGCGUUGUCCGGAAUUAUUGGGCGUAAAGGGCGCGUAGGCGGUCAGACAAGUCAAAUGUGAAAGACAGCGGCUCAACCGUUGGGUGGCGUUUGAAACUGUAGGGCUUGAGUACAGGAGAGGAGAGUGGAAUUCCUGGUGUAGUGGUGGAAUGCGUAGAUAUCACGAAGAACAUCGGUGGCGAAAGCGGCUCUCUGGCCAUGUACUGACGCUGAGGCGCGAAAGCGUGGGGAGCAAACGGGAUUAGAUACCCCGGUAGUCCACGCCGUAAACGAUGGAUACUAGGUGUAGGUGGUUAGACUCCAUCUGUGCCGCAGUAAACGCAAUAAGUAUCCCGCCUGGGGAGUACGGUCGCAAGAUUGAAACUCAAAGGAAUUGACGGGGGCCCGCACAAGCGGUGGAGCAUGUGGUUUAAUUCGAGGCAACGCGAAGAACCUUACCAGGGCUUGACAUCCCGUGAUGUAUUGUGAAAGCAGUAGUUCUCUUCGGAGACACGGAGACAGGUGGUGCAUGGUUGUCGUCAGCUCGUGUCGUGAGAUGUUGGGUUAAGUCCCGCAACGAGCGCAACCCUUAUGCUUAGUUACCAGCAAUGAGAUGGGGACUCUAAGGAGACUGCCGGUGACAAACCGGAGGAAGGUGGGGAUGACGUCAAAUCAUCAUGCCCUUGAUGUUCUGGGCUACACACGUGCUACAAUGGUUUGUACAGAGGGAAGCGAUGCCGCGAGGAGGAGCAAAUCCCAAAAAGCAGACCUCAGUUCGGAUUGUAGGCUGCAACUCGCCUACAUGAAGCUGGAAUCGCUAGUAAUCGCAGGUCAGCAUACUGCGGUGAAUACGUUCUCGGGCCUUGUACACACCGCCCGUCACACCACCCGAGUUUGAUGCACCAGAAGUCGCUGUCCUAACUCGUAAGAGAGGGAGGCGCCAAAGGUGUGUUCGGCAAGGGGGGUGA